GACGAACGCUGGCGGCGUGCUUAACACAUGCAAGUCGAACGGAAAGGCCCUGCUUUUGUGGGGUUCUCGAGUGGCGAACGGGUGAGUAACACGUGAGUAACCUGCCCUUGACUUUGUGAUAACUUCAGGAAACUGGGGCUAAUACCGGAUAGGAGCUCCUGCUGCAUGGUGGGGGUUGGAAAGUUUCGGCGGUUGGGGAUGGACUCGCGGCUUAUCAGCUUGUUGGUGGGGUAGUGGCUUACCAAGGCUUUGACGGGUAGCCGGCCUGAGAGGGUGACCGGCCACAUUGGGCCUGCGAUACGGCCCAGACUCCUACGGGAGGCAGUAGUGGGGAAUAUUGCACAAUGGGAGGAAGCGUGAUGCAGCAACGCCGCGUGCGGAAUGACGGCCUUCGGGUUGUAAACCGAUUUCGCCUGUGACGAAGAGUGAGUGACGGUAAUGGGUAAAGAAGCACCGGCUAACUACGUG
rnacentral:rRNA from 1 species